GUGUUGUAUGAAAGGAGAGAAGGUUAGCACUCCCCUUGAUGAGGAUGGAAGAGGUUCCUAUUGGCUUUUACAACACAUAUGUGGUUAAGGCAUUGCCACCUACUCUAUGGCAUCUGACCACAUUUUUUA
rnacentral:ncRNA from 1 species